CCAGAGAACGUUAGCAGAGAUGCUUUGGUGCCUUCGGGAACUCUGAGACAGGUGCUGCAUGGCUGUCGUCAGCUCGUGUUGUGAAAUGUUGGGUUAAGUCCCGCAACGAGCGCAACCCUUAUCCUUUGUUGCCAGCGAUUCGGUCGGGAACUCAAAGGAGACUGCCGGUGAUAAACCGGAGGAAGGUGGGGAUGACGUCAAGUCAUCAUAGCCCUUACGGCCAGGGCUACACACGUGCUACAAUGGCGCAUACAAAGAGAAGCGACCUCGCGAGAGCAAGCGGACCUCAUAAAGUGCGUCGUAGUCCGGAUUGGAGUCUGCAACUCGACUCCAUGAAGUCGGAAUCGCUAGUAAUCGUAGAUCAGAAUGCUACGGUGAAUACGUUCCCGGGCCUUGUACACACCGCCCGUCACACCAUGGGAGUGGGUUGCAAAAGAAGUAGGUAGCUUAACCUUCGGGAGGGCGCUUACCACUUUGUGAUUCAUGACUGGGGUGAAGUCGUAACAAGGUAGGCGUAGUGCU
rnacentral:rRNA from 1 species